rnacentral:lncRNA from 1 species
GUGUCACAGCUGCUGGCUUCUCCUGUGCUCUACACGGACCUGAAUUACAGCAUAAACAACUUGAGCAUUUCAGCAAAUGUAGAAAACAAAUACAGUCUUUAUGUGGGCUUGGUACUGGCAGUAAGCUCAAGUAUUUUUAUUGGCUCCAGCUUCAUACUGAAAAAGAAGGGCCUCUUGCAACUGGCCAGCAAGGGCUUUACUAGAGCUGGACAAGGUGGACAUUCUUACCUGAAGGAAUGGCUCUGGUGGGUAGGAUUGCUGUCAAGUUCCAUUAAUUAACUCAGGUCUGGAAGACAUAGGACAAAAUGGAGUUUCUGAAGAAGUCCAGGACACCUUGGUGAGGAAAUUAAUGGCACUUUUCUUGACAUCCAACCUGGGACUCUGGUGAUUCUGUGUUCUGGCGAAUUUAAGUUUCAGACAUUUCUUUGUGUCACCUUUUACAAGGUGUUUGCCCUUGGUACGUUAUGACCAGGUCAAAGGUUCCCAAA